rnacentral:rRNA from 1 species
AUUGAACGCUGGCGGCAGGCCUAACACAUGCAAGACGAACGAGUGGCGGACGGGUGAGUUAUGUCUGUGACACUGCCUGAUGGAUGGGGAUCACUACCGGAAACGGUAGCCACUACCGUAUACCUUCGGCUAUGCCCAGUUUGGUUUAGCGAGUGGGUGGGGUAAAGGCUCACCUAGGCGACGACCCCUAGCUGGUCUGAGAGGAUGACCAGUCACACUGGAACUGAGACACGGUCCAGACUCCUACGGGAGGCAGCAGUGGGGAAUAUUGCACAAUGGGCGAAAGCCUGAUGCAGCCAUGCCGCGUGUAUGAAGAAGGCCUUCGGGUUGUAAAGUACUUUCAGCGGGGAGGCGUUACCCACAGAAGAAGCACCGGCUAACUCCGUGCCAGCAGCCGCGGUAAUAC